GAUGAACGCUAGCGGCAGGCAUAAUACAUGCAAGACGAACGGCAAGGUUGAUAGCAAUAUUGAUCCUAGAGUGUCGUACGGGUGCGUAACACGUAUGCAACCUACCUUUUACAGGAGUAUAGCUCGGUGAAAACCGAAUUAACCCUCCAUAAGAUCAUAGUGAGGCAUCUCACAGUGAUUAAAACUGCGGUGGUAAAAGAUGGGCAUGCGUUUGAUUAGCUGGUUGGCAGUGUAACGGACUAACAAGGCGAUGAUCAAUAGGGGACCUGAGAGGGUGAUCCCCCACACUGGCACUGAGAUACGGGCCAGACUCCUACGGGAGGCAGCAGUAGGGAAUAUUGGACAAUGGGUGAGAGCCUGAUCCAGCCAUGCCGCGUGCAGGAAGAAGGCGUUAUGCGUUGUAAACUGCUUUUGCCAGGGGAUAAAACGGCCCUGCGGGGCUAAUUGAAGGUACCUGGUGAAUAAGCCACGGCUAACUACGUGCCAGCAGCCGUGGUAAUACGUAGGUGGCAAGCGUUGUCCGGAUUUAUUGGGUUUAAAGGGUGCGUAGGCGGCCCUGUAAGUCAGUGCUGAAAUAUCCCGGCUUAACCGGGAGGGUGGCAUUGAUACUGCAGGGCUUGAGUACAGAUGAAGUAGGCGGAAUUGACGGUGUAGCGGUGAAAUGCAUAGAUAUCGUCAAGAACACCGAUAGCGAAGGCAGCUUGCUAAGCUGUAACUGACGCUGAGGCACGAAAGUGUGGGGAUCAAACAGGAUUAGAUACCCUGGUAGUCCACACUGUAAACGUUGAUGACUCGAUGUUGGCGAUACACGGCCAGCGUCCAAGAGCAAUCGUUAAGUCAUCCACCCGGGGAGUACGCCGGCAACGGUGAAACUCAAAGGAAUUGACGGGGGUCCGCACAAGCGGUGGAGCAUGUGGUUUAAUUCGAUGCAACGCGAAGAACCUUACCUGGUCUUGACAUGUCUGGAAUCCCGAAGAGAUUUGGGAGUGCCGCAAGGAACCAGAACACAGGUGCUGCAUGGCUGUCGUCAGCUCGUGUCGUGAGAUGUUGGGUUAAGUCCCGCAACGAGCGCAACCCUUGUCCUUAGUUGCCAUCAUUAAGUUGGGAACUCUAAGGAGACCGCCGGUGACAAACCGGAGGAAGGUGGGGAUGACGUCAAGUCAUCAUGGCCUUUAUGACCAGGGCUACACACGUGCUACAAUGGCAGGUACAGAGGGAAGCCAACCAGCGAUGGGGAGCUAAUCCCAGAAAGCCUGUCUUAGUCCGGAUUGGAGUCUGCAACUCGACUCCAUGAAGUUGGAAUCGCUAGUAAUCGCAGAUCAGCAUUGCUGCGGUGAAUACGUUCCCGGGUCUUGUACACACCGCCCGUCACACCAUGGGAGUUGAUUGCACCAGAAGCAGGUAGCCUGACCGCAAGGAGGGCGCUUACCACGGUGUGGUUAAUGACUGGGGUGAAGUCGUAACAAGGUAAC
rnacentral:rRNA from 1 species